GCCGCGGUGGCGGAAUGGUAGACGCGCCAGACUCAAAAUCUGGUGGCAGCGAUGUCGUGAGAGUUCGAGUCUCUCCCGCGGCACCA
rnacentral:tRNA from 1 species